rnacentral:rRNA from 1 species
UACGUAGGGCGCAAGUGUUGUCCGGAAUUAUUGGGCGUAAAGAGCUCGUAGGCGGCCUGUUACGUCUGCUGUGAAAUCCCGGGGCUUAACCCCGGGCGUGCAGUGGAUACGGGCAGGCUGGAGGCAGGCAGGGGAGAACGGGAUUCCCGGUGUAGCGGUGAAAUGCGCAGAUAUCGGGAGGAACACCGGUGGCGAAGGCGGUUCUCUGGGCCUGUACUGACGCUGAGGAGCGAAAGCGUGGGGAGCGAACAGG